CAACAUGUCUGCGCCCUUGAGAACACAUGAAAAUACAGGACUGAGCAAAAUACUGCAGUUAAUUGAGCUGUUACAGAAUGUAUCAUUGACAGAACAUAAAUAUUUUCAUGGCUAAUCUCACUUUCAGGUUCCGAUCAACAGCUGUGGUGUUUAUUCGUAGUUUUGAGGAAUAGCCACAAGAGUAGGUCGAUUAUGCCUCUUUAUGGUAAAUGUGGGCUCGGUCGGAUUACGAGAUGCUUUCUGAGUCGGGUCUCUGACACCUGUCAUGCUCCCUCCCUAGAAAGACUGUACCACAGAAAUAUGUGUGCAAGGCAGCAAACGAACAGAAAUGCACCUCACAGUCUCUCGAUGUUUGGGCAUAUGAUAACGCUUCGUGGUUUUCAUGUGUCUCAGUCAGUAUUUCUGUCGAAGAUUUUAUCAGUGGAUGAAAUCUUUUCCAAGCCAUCGUUGCAGGAAUACUUGAAGAAAGUGGAAGAUGAGUAUGAUGUUAGUUUGAAAAUCAUAAACACGAUGGAAGAUCAAAGUCAUGGCGAGGAGGAACUCAGUCAGAACAGGAUCCGAGUCUCGGAUUUAACGCCGUUGGUCCAGCGAGUCAGAGACCUCAAAUUAAAGCAGAAAGAGUUUGAAGAAACCGAGGCUUUACUUAAGGAUAAUGACCCAGAAUUACGUGAACUGGCAGAAAUGGAAAGAGAGUCUUGCCAGACAGCUAUUCAAGCCCUGAAACAAACGAUCCUGUCUCUUAUCAUCCCUGCGGAGGAAUCAGACAUGAGUGACCUCGUCCUUGAAGUCACGGCCGGGGUUGGAGGACAGGAAGCAAUGCUCUUUACCUCAGAAAUGUUUGACAUGUACCAGAGCUUUGCUGCCUUGCAAGGAUGGGGAUUUGAUAUACUGGAGUACACAUCCAGCGAAAUAGGUGGAAUGAGGCAUGGGAGUGCCAGCAUCAGUGGGCCCCUGAGCUACAAGAAGAUGAAGUUUGAAGCUGGAGUCCACCGCGUGCAAAGGGUCCCCAGAACUGAGAAUAAGGGCCGCAUGCACACCAGCACGAUGACCGUCGCAAUCCUCCCUCAGCCCACGGAGAUCACAUUUACAAUUCAGGCAAAAGAUCUCAGAAUUGAGACAAAGAGAGCAAGUGGGGCUGGUGGACAGCAUGUCAACACAACCGACAGCGCUGUACGAAUCGUCCAUAUCCCCUCAGGAGUGGUAGCUGAGUGUCAGCAGGAACGGUCCCAGAUAAAGAACAAAGAAACUGCCAUGAAGGUGCUCCGAGCCAAGCUUUACAGCAUGAAGCUGGAGGAAGAGACAAGUAAAAUAUACCAGACACGUAAACUACAGAUUGGAAGCAAAGGGAGAUCAGAAAAAAUCAGAACCUACAAUUUUCAACAAGAUCGCGUCACGGAUCAUCGUAUUGGGAAAACGAUGCAUGAUGUCCGAGGAUUUCUCUUGGGAGAGGAAUUAUUAGAAGAAAUGAGCUUGUCUUUACAACAGUUCUCUGAACAAGAAACACUCCUGGACCUUUUGGGCGACAAUGACAGCUGACUUACUCGUCACCUUCUCCGUGGACUCGUUUGACUGUAGGCUACUGUAGUGGUCUUCCUCCCGCCCAAUGUUUUGGACUGCUUUGAUUUCCGGUAAUGCACGGAUUUAAAACUAUUCAUUUUAAAACACAGGCAUCAUGGCACCGUGCCCAUGGUCUAUAAUGCAUGUUAAUGUUUUGUAUCAUGCAAGAAGCUGUUGAAAUGCAACCGAUAAAUAAAAAGACUUUUUCAGUCGAGAGUGUGUUGCCACAAGAUAACUUCGACAAUACUAUGUUUCUUAAAGUGCAUAGGGUGUUAAGCUGUAUCCACUUCUUACCGCCAAACUUUUAAACAGUUUAAAUCAGCAUUUCUUGACAUGUUUAUUAUUUGCCUCCUUUUCUGCCACUUCAAGCAGUUCAGGCGCAUAGCGUUACGUUAUAACGUGGUGACAUCAGAGUUGCCCCUGGCCAUACUGGAAUCUCAUUGGUUACUCUCUGUUUUCAGUCUGUUAAAGUAGGUCUGUGUUUGCCGCUAAAUUCUUUAUGUGGACACUAUACAACAAAAUAUCAGAUGAAAAUCAUUCGCGGAAAAAGAAAAAGAUCGUUAUCUUGUGAAAAGAAUACGGAAAUGAAGUGCCCCCUGUCUGCGGAAUCCCUCGUAUCGUGUUGCACGGAACAACGUGUAACCAACGCGGACGAACCAGACCACAAUUCCUCUCCCCGAAAAAAAUGUGUACUGGUGUCUGUGAAGCCUUUACCGUCUCCAGGUGUGU